AACUCCUCCCAAACCCUAAACUGAGUCUUUGCGCCACGUGCUAAAACUAUGAAGAACAAUCGAUCUCCUCUAAACCCUAACCCAAGUUUUUGCACUCUCCUACAAAUUCGAAGAACAAUAAACGAUUGAAUGCAAUAUCUGAAGAUCAACCUCACAGAUAAUCGAGAAAAAAGGAGUUGUUCGUCUUUCGAGCACUCUAGCAUUCAUCUCAUCCUGUUGCGCCACCUGCUUCAAAGAAGACGCGGCAGAAUCGCCCCACUCCUUACUAGAUUCGCAUGUCUAUUAACAAACCUAUUAGGAAAUAAAAUGUGCAAGAUGCUGGAUGCUGUGCUGUUUAGGUGAUUCCAGCUCUGCUGUUGUUUGGACAGCAACAUGCUGGUGAUGGUGGUUAUUCCCUUGCCACUAUUGAAUGCUACUGCUGGGCUGAGGAGGUGCAGAUGGCCAACCCAAAGCUCUGGUGCAGCUGCCUGAUCCUAUAUUAUGUGAUAGGCGGAGUUGUUACUGCUACUAUUGAUGUUCAGCUGGGGUUGGAUGUACUUGAAGCACACGGGCAUCGAUGUUCAGCUAAUGUCUGUGGCUGUGUUGAAAGCCUUACACGACCAUAUUGUCUCUUUUUGUGUAUUAGAAUUGUAUAGGAGAAUCGUAUCAUAGUUAAAAUGCGAGGUUAUUUUAUUUUUUUUAGCUAUUUAGGGUACAAAUCCAUGAACUUGGUAAUGUAAUUGAUGGGCAACCUUGUCCCCAUUCUCACCAAUAGGGAUGCAGGCGGGGCGGGUCUAAUAGGAGACCCGCCCCAUCCCCGCCCCAUCGUGGCGGGGAUGGGUCCCGGUUUGAUGGGUCAUGGGGCGGGUACGGGUAUAAAAUUCAUACCCACCGCGGGGAUGGGGAUGGGGAUGGGUUUUAGGUGAUACCCGCCCCAUCCCCGCCCCGCGCCGCCUCACGAAAUGUACAAAUUUUGAGAAUUGGAAUACCCUAAAUUAUUUCUCAAAUUUCUGAAAACCUUGAAUUAUUUUCAAAUUUUUUUAAAAACUUUAAAAACCCCGUUUUUAUAUUUCUUUUAAGGUUUAAGAUCAUGUUUUUUAGAGUAAGGUUUAUAAUCAUAUUUUUUCUAUUUUUUAUCCUUUUUUCUCAAUAAAAUUUGUUUAUAUUCAUUACGAGUUGUGUAGAGGUAGGCGAUAUUAAGUGAUGAUUAGAUGGGGAUUUGAAAAUAAAUAUAUGACACAGAUGGGUAUUAAGCGGGGAUUUGACGGGUGGUGGGGCGGGUAAAAUGGGUAUUAGA